GGGGUGUCGCUCUUGGAGCGGACGCGGCGGAUGGGUCUGCGGUCGAUGUCCUCCUCGGAAGAUGCCGCCAUUAAUGUGGGCACGACAGGAGCUCUUACGAUAUGAUGAGGUUUGACAUCCCUCAUAGCUGAGCUUCAGUGUGAAAAAGUCUGUGCUUGGGCAGGGGAGUGAACUCAGGCAAAGAGGAAAACAGAAUACAUGCCCAGGACUUUUCUUCACUGCUCAAUGGGAAAAAGAAUGACAGUGUGCUGGAAACUGAGAAGAAGCUUCAUACAUUCAAAGAUGCUGCUCCUGACCUUUUGUUCAGCAGAGAGAGAAAAUAAAACAACAUCUACCAAACUUGAAGCAACAUAAAUUCUCCUGGACACCUGAAAGGUUCUUCCCCUGCCAUCUUCCUAAACAGGCUACAGAACUCCGAAGAUCAGGAUGAAAUUUUGUCUCAGCGAUGAGUAGAAAAUAAUAACUUGUGUCUUGUCAAGCUGGUCUCCUGUCUCCUUUGACAACUCAGCCUUUGGUGGCUGCAGUGGCUGUGUCAUAAACCCCUUGGACCAGCCCAUUAGAAGGAAAAGAAC